rfam:Pantoea vagans C9-1, complete genome.
CAGGACGAGCGACAGGGAUGUCGCGAAGAGGCGGGUUCGCGCCAGGGAUGGCGCGUCCUGCCGGUCCGUGAAAAAUC